UACAGAGACUGCAAGCGUUAUUCGGAUUCACUGGGCGUAAAGGGUGCGCAGGCGGUUGGGUGUGUCAGAUGUGAAAUCCCGAGGCUUAAACCUCGGAACUGCGUCUGAAACUACUCGACUAGAGUACUGGAGAGGGAAACGGAAUUCACGGUGUAGCAGUGAAAUGCGUAGAUAUCGUGAGGAACACCAGAGGCGAAGGCGGUUUCCUGGACAGUUACUGACGCUCAGGCACGAAAGCAUGGGGAGCAAAAGGG
rnacentral:rRNA from 1 species